rnacentral:tRNA from 1 species
UUUGGGUAAACCGGGCUUACAAUAAAGCUUCUAACUUUAUUUAGAGAGGUUCAACUCCUUUCUUUCCCAA